rfam:Marine metagenome 1096626802869, whole genome shotgun sequence.
GAAUCUGAUUAAUUCAAUCUGAAGUUGACCGUAGAAUCCAUUUGGAGUCUAAUUGUUUUAUAUAAAAUGG